rnacentral:rRNA from 1 species
UACGGAGGGGGCUAGCGUUGUUCGGAAUUACUGGGCGUAAAGCGCACGUAGGCGGCUCGUUGCGUCAACCGUGAAAACCCGGGGCUUAACUUCGGGCUUGCGGUUGAUACGGGCGGGCUGGAGUUCGGUAGGGGAGACUGGAAUUCCUGGUGUAGCGGUGAAAUUCGUAGAUAUCGAGAAGAACACCGGUGGCGAAGGCGGCCAUCUGGACGGUGACUGACGCUGAGACGCGAAAGCGUGGGGAGCAAACAGG